rnacentral:rRNA from 1 species
ACAGGGAUUGCCCUAGUAACGGCGAGUGAAGCGGCAACAGCUCAAAUUUGAAAUCUGGCUCUUUUAGGGUCCGAGUUGUAAUUUGCAGAGGGCGCUUUGGCAUUGGCAGCGGUCCAAGUUCCUUGGAACAGGACGUCACAGAGGGUGAGAAUCCCGUACGUGGUCGCUAGCCUUUACCGUGUAAAGCCUCUUCAACGAGUCGAGUUGUUUGGGAAUGCAGCUCUAAAUGGGAGGUAAAUUUCUUCUAAAGCUAAAUACUGGCCAGAGACCGAUAGCGCACAAGUAGAGUGAUCGAAAGAUGAAAAGCACUUUGGAAAGAGAGUCAAAUAGCACGUGAAAUUGUUGAAAGGGAAGCGCUUGCAGCCAGACUUGCCUGUAGUUGCUCAUCUGGGCUUUUGCCCAGUGCACUCUUCUAUAGGCAGGCCAGCAUCAGUUUAGGCGGUUGGAUAAAGGUCUCUGUCAUGUACCUCUUCUCGGGGAGGCCUUAUAGGGGAGACGACAUGCAACCAGCCUGGACUGAGGUCCGCGCAUCUGCUAGGAUGCUGGCGUAAUGGCUGUAAGCGGCCCGUCUUGAAACACGGACCAAGGAGUCUAACAUCUAUGCGAGUGUUUGGGUGUCAAGCCCGAACGCGUAAUGAAAGUGAACGGAGGUGGGAACCUUAGGGUGCACCAUCGACCGAUCCUGAUGUCUUCGGAAGGAUUUGAGUAAGAGCAUGGCUGUUGGGACCCGAAAGAUGGUGAACUAUGCUUGAAUAGGGUGAAGCCAGAGGAAACUCUGGUGGAGGCUCGCAGCGGUUCUGACGUGCAAAUCGAUCGUCAAAUUUGGGCAUAGGGGCGAAAGACUAAU